UUUGGGAAGCCCAAGCAAAACCAUGAAAACUUAUGCUUAAAGUGGACAAUAUCAUACUAUUGUGAAAAGUCAUGUUUAUCUAACAAUGUAUCAAGGUCAAAAAAA